GAUGAACGCUAGCGAUAGGCCUAACACAUGCAAGUCGAGGGGCAUCACAUGAGGCAGCAAUGCCGAUGGUGGCGACCGGCGCACGGGUGAGUAACACGUAUGCAACCUGCCUUCAACAAGGGGAUAACCCGUUGAAAAAACGGACUAAUACCCUAUAACACAGGGGUCCCGCAUGGGAAUAUUUGUUAAAGGACAACCGGUUGAAGAUGGGCAUGCGUUCCAUUAGCUAGUUGGCGGGGUAACGGCCCACCAAGGCAACGAUGGAUAGGGGAACUGAGAGGUUUAUCCCCCACACUGGUACUGAGACACGGACCAGACUCCUACGGGAGGCAGCAGUGAGGAAUAUUGGUCAAUGGACGCAAGUCUGAACCAGCCACGUUCGCGUGAAGGAAGACGGCCCUACGGGUUGUAAAACUUCUUUUAUACGGGGAAUAAAGUGCCCCAGCGUGGGGUUUUGCAUGUACCGUAUGAAUAAGGAUCGGCUAACUCCGUGCCAGCAGCCGCGGUAAUUACUGACU
rnacentral:rRNA from 1 species